rnacentral:rRNA from 1 species
CGACGAUGCUAGGGGUUCUGAGAGGAAGGUCCCCCACACUGGUACUGAGACACGGACCAGACUCCUACGGGAGGCAGCAG